AAGACCUUGCGCUUUUGGAGCGGCCGAMGUCUGAUUAGCUUGUUGGUAAGGUAAAAGCUUACCAAGGCUUCGAUCAGUAGCUGGUCUGAGAGGACGGCCAGCCACACUGGGACUGAGACACGGCCCAGACUCCUACGGGAGGCAGCAGUGGGGAAUUUUGGACAAUGGGGGCAACCCUGAUCCAGCCAUGCCGCGUGAGUGAAGAAGGCCUUCGGGUUGUAAAGCUCUUUCAGCCGGAACGAAACGGUUACGGUUAAUACCCGUGACUACUGACGGUACCGGAAGAAGAAGCACCGGCUAACUACGUGCCAGCAGCCGCGGUAAUACGUAGGGUGCAAGCGUUAAUCGGAAUUACUGGGCGUAAAGCGUGCGCAGGUGGUUUUGUAAGUCAGAUGUGAAAUCCCCGGGCUUAACCUGGGAACU
rnacentral:rRNA from 1 species